rnacentral:lncRNA from 1 species
CUAGUGAAUGACUCCACCGGGCACCCUUAGUUCUACCAAAGGGCAGGAAGUGAAUUCAAACAAGUCCUCAAAAGUGUUGACAGUAAAUACUAUUUAUUUAUUUACUUAUUUAUUCACUUAUUUAAGGUGCUGAGGAUUCAACUCAGGAUCUCAUGCAGGCCAACCAUGCACUCUACCACCAAGCUACAUCAGCAGCCUAAUUUAAUCAUUUUAUGUACCAGUCACUAGCCAUAGCACCUUAUAAACACAACCUAUCCUUCCCUGCAAACCUAGGCAGUUAGCAUGAAUAAACCUACCUACAAAUGAGGAAAUGGAAGCUGGAAAAGUUACUGCACAUGUACUAUUAAUUAGGGGCAGAGCUGUUUCUAACCCAAGUUCUCCUGACUCCAAAGGCUUUGUUCCUGGACCUAUGGAUGGUGUGCCUUGGUUUCUGCUUGCUGGCUUAUUUUCAUUCCUGGAUCGCAGCUUUAAACUCACUCACUUUAAACUCCAACACCAUGACUGGCAAAUAAACUUUCCUGGCAAUGAAGGCAGCUGCUGUUUCCUGUGUUUAGAGACCACAUUGCAGGGAAGUGUUUUAAGAGUUGUUUUGAGUGUUGUGUCUGCCCCUCCAUGCAAAGUGUGGAUGCCGCUUCUGAGAAAGAGGAAGGUGACGUGGAAUGCUCAGUGUUAGGUGGCAGUUCCCAUUUGCUGGGGAUUUGCAGAGGAAUUUGUAUGUCACAGGAUGAGAUCUGAGCCUUUGUUCUCUUUGGUCUGAGAGCAUGUGGUCUAUGAAAUCAAUGGACUGUGAGGUCAAAGUUCUAGUGCUAGCUCAGCUGCUGAUGUGUCCUGGAACUUCGGGUGAGACAGUUUAUGUCUGCCUUGCCCAUCUGUGCAAUUUAGUUCUCCAGAGUUGUAAGGAGCACUUCUAAUGAGCCAAGCAUGGUAUAGGUCAGUGGACCUCAGAGAUAAACAAUGUACCUCCUGGCCACAGUAACCCCUGCAAUUAGGAAAGGCACAGAGACAUAAGUGGUAGUCACAAAAGUAAGUAUGUUGAAAGGGGAGCUACUGGUCCAGUUUUCAAAGGACCAACUUGGAAUGUCAGGGAAUCUGGAAAGUCUUAAUUAAAUAAAGACUUGCCAUGGUGCUGUGUUAUUGUACUCAUCUCAAUCCUGAAGAAAGUAGUAAAUAGUUUUUCCAUUUUACAGAUGAGAAAAGUGAGACAGAUACAUUAAAAGGGUUAACCAAUUUGGAAGGACUCUACAAAUAUUCAGAUUCAUCUGGAUUUGGAGCCCAUUGUCUUUCCACAUUACCCAAAAAGCCCUUUGAAGAUUUCAUUUAUUGGGGGAACUGGGUGUGUUCUAUAAAAAUUGUUUUUAGUUUUUUUCGGUGCUGGGGCUUGAACCCAGGGCCCUGCCCUUGCCAGCCAAUAGCUCUACCACUGAGCUACAAGAUCCCAUCCCCUCAAGAUUCCAUUUUAUUUGCUUAUUUAUUAUUUUUUAUGUUGCUGGGGCCUCACACAUACUAGGCAAGUGCUCUACUAUUUAGCUAUGUCUCAGGUCCUUUUUAUUUUAUUCUGAGACAGGCUGGCUUUGAGCUUGGGAUCCUCCUGACUGUAACUGGGAUGACAGGUAUGCAUAGCUGAGGAUUCCAUUUUAAAGUUUCAAAAUACUGACAAUCUGACAUUCCUGCACUGUGGAGUUGUCUUCCAUUACCUUCCCCAAGGCUCUUUAUGUGUCUGAGUAUCAUGAUUGCUGUCAAUCAGGAGUUAAUCACAGUCUGGCUGCCGCUUGUCUUUCCAUCCUCUUCUCUUCCACCCUCCACCCCCUAUAACCGUGCCCUCUGUGCAGCUCAGCC